UAAGACAGGGGUCUCGAGCGUUAAUCGGAAUCACUGGGCUUAAAGGGUGCGUAGGCGGACCAGUAAGCGUCCUGUGAAAUCCCAUGGCUCAACCAUGGAAUUGCAGGGCGAACUGCUGGUCUUGAGGAAGCUAGAGGCUGGCAGAACGAUUGGUGGAGCGGUGGAAUGCGUAGAUAUCAAUCGGAAUGCCGAAAGUGAAGACAGCCAGCUGGGGCUUUCCUGACGCUGAGGCACGAAAGCGUGGGUAGCAAACCGGAUUAGAUACCCGGGUAGUCCACGCCCUAAACGAUGUACACUAGACUGAAGCGGCUCUGACGUCGUUUUGGUCGUAGAGAAAUUGAUAAGUGUACCGCCUGGGGAGUACGGUCGCAAGGCUA
rnacentral:rRNA from 1 species